GGCUUACGCUGUUCUUCAUCCUGAACGUGUCUGCAGCCGUCAUCCUGAACAACUUUUCAGAAUCUUCAGUGAACGAGGUGCAUUCCAUUGUGCCAGUCCCAUCAGAUGCCACGAAAUUGUAGCUUACUUUGGAGUAGACACGGUAUCUGCCUUACAUCUGGUGCAAGUGUAGGAUGUCCCUGCUGGAAUGUCUCCACGCCGUCCACAAGCAGAGCACCGCAGGUAUGCAUUGAUCGUGCUCAUUUGAGGGUUGGGUAUUGUAACCCUGAGCCAAUGGCGUUGCUCUUGCAAGGUGUUGUAAGGCUAGGGAAAAAAUCCGACAGGUUCACAAGUCAGGCACACUUCUUUAUAUUCUGAAGUGCAUCUACAUUAACGGAACAAUAAGACAUACAUUAUUUGUGUAUCACUUUUUCGCAUAUGAGUGUGGGUUUCCAACAGGUUUAAGCUCAGUUACCCCGGGCCACUUUCUUGAGGCCGUCACUUUUUCGCAUAUGAUCGCUUUAUUAUGAAGCAACAUUAUAACAGCUCUAAUCAGACAAAAACUACCUGUGUAUUCUGUUCUCACUGAAUGUAAAGUUAGCGUAGUUGAUUGGAUGGUAUUUUGUCGUUACUUAGUUUAGCAGUUAUGCAAUGCAAUAUAGUUUAGGUUAUGCAAUGCAAUGUAAACACAAUGAUGAUGUUGUAGCAGUCCUUAAAUUCCCUAUCUAUUUUUAGUAGCUAUGCAACGCAAUUUAGUUUAGGCUAUGUAAUAUCUUUGAUGUUCCUUCCA